rnacentral:lncRNA from 1 species
AAUACAGGAUCCUUAACCCACCGAGCAAGGGCAGGGAUUGAACCUGCGUCCUCAUGGAUACUAGUCACGUUCAUUACUGCUGAGCCACAACAGGAACUCCCUGAAGUUUUUAACUUUUAAUUGACUUCCCCCUCCCUUUCUGGGGGUUUAAGGAUUUUCAUUACUGGGAAAGGGUAGUUCUAAUUUUCCAGUAAGAAGGUCAAUUAAAGAUCAGUUUUACUCCUUCCUGCUUGACAUUUGAGUGAUUGGAAAAACUUUUCCUCAUCUGUCAGAUGCUUAGGAAGCUAAAUGAGAGAUGGAUUCCUGGGUCAAAGGCAUAUGAGCCUGUUUCCUCACUGGAGAAGCUGUUCAGGAAGGGCUGCAGGGUUCCAGGAUCACCCUCCCUCUUCAUCCAGGCCAACUCAUCUCACGAAGUAGACUUGUCUCUCAACUAAACUUAGUAGCUAUGAGACUUCUGUAAUGAAUUACUGGCAUAUCAUUGCCAUUCUUUCCAGGAUGAAUCACAGAGGCAAAUUGGAAUCUUUUGCCUUUUAAUUAUACGUACUUCCAAUUAUUUACGAAGUCCUAUUUUAUCUCAUAUUUUUCUCAUCAUUAAUUUUUUUUGAUGUACUGAUGCCCUAGGUCAGGUUCUCAUAAUCUCAAGCCGAGUGUCUUCAGUGAAUUCUACUUAUUUCUUAUCCAGUUUGUUCUGCAGAUUUCUCUCAACCCAGACUCUUCACCAGAUUCAUGUCUCUUGGCAGCAUACCCUACCCUGGGCCCAAACAUUAAACUCACUACUCAAUCUCUAUUAUUGUUAUUACAUGGGACUAUAGAAAAAAUUGCCAAAGUUUUCACAAAACACUAGACCUUUUGUGUAAAUCUUUUUGAGAAAACAACUUGCUUUGAUUGAAGGAGGGAAGGCAUGCUUCCAAGGAAUGGAAGGCAUGGAAUAACUAGUUUCGAAAUUUAUAUGUUGGAUGUGGAAAUCACGGGAUGAGUGAAGGAAAGGAGGUAUUUAUUUGGAUAGAAAAUUCACUUUACAAGUUCUAAAUAAUUGAGUUUAAGAUGGUUUAAAGGAGGCUUUGGCUU